rnacentral:rRNA from 1 species
UCCGGUUGAUCCUGCCAGUAUUAUAUGCUUAUUUCGAAGAUUAAGCCAUGCAAAUGUGAGAUCGAAUCGGUCUUUUAGACUGACUUUUAAUCUGUGUACAGCUCCAUAAAAGAUUUAUAACCGCCUGGUUGCAUCUUAGAAGGAUAACGCAACCAAAUGUAGCGAUAAUACUUGAAAUAUAGCGAUAAAGCUUCAAGGAAUUAGCUUUAUCAGCCUAGGGUUUCCUGGGUGUUAACCGUUGGUCGAUCAGGCGGGUUUAUUACUUAUCAGUUAGAAAACUGUUUCAAUAACAGUUAUGACAGUCACAAGUACGGGGAAUUAGUGUUCGAUUCCGGAGAAGGAGCCUGAGGAACAGCUACUAGUGCUAAGGCAUGCAGCAGGCGCGGAACUUACCCAAUGCGAACACAUUCGCGAGGUAGUGAAAAGAAAUAAGCAUCUUUCCUUUAAUAGGAAAGAGUACCGGUUUUUACUGGUUUACAAUGGCAACGCUUUAGACUUGUGUUGGAGUAACAAUUGGAGGGAAAGUCAGGUGCCAGCAGCCGCGGUAAUACCUGCUCCAAUAGUGUAUGAUAACAUUGCUGCAGUUAAAACGUUCGUAGUCGCCCUAAGGGGCUUUAAAUCGAAGUCGAAUUGAUUAAUCUUACCGGUGCUGUUAUUUUAAUAACUCAUUGGAAAGUCGAAUUAUCGGGGUCCUUUUGGAUUCAUUAGUCUUUUCACAGCAUUCUUUAGUAUCAAUUUUUAAUUUUAUUAUUAAUUGUGCUAUAUGAAUGUGAUUUUAAUUUAUUUCUCCAAUUUUAACCUGUGAGUAAAUUAGUGCGAUCAAAGGAUGAUUAGUGGUGGCUUACCUCGCAAGAGGUGGCUAUUUGUGAUGCAACAUAUUUUAGCACAGAACCAGUUAUUCCGGUUGUUCUGCAACCGGUACAGACAAUAGAAUCAGGAACAGGCUUUCGGUAUUUACUGAUGAGGGGUGAAAUCCGUAUAGUUCGUAAGGACCUACGGAGGCGAAAGCGGAAGGCUAGUACUGGUUCAUGUGAUGAGGAACGAGAGCCAGGGGAGCAAAGAUGAUUAGAUACCGUCGUAGUCCUGGCUGUAAACUAUACAAAUUAGAGAUUGUAUGAAACCAUCUAACAGAUUCUUACAGGAUCCUCCGAGAAAUCCUAAAUUUUUGUGUUCUUGGGGGAGUAUAUUCGCAAGAACGAAACUUAAAGGAAUUGACGGAAAUUCACCACCAGGAGUGGAUUCUGCGGCUUAAUUCGACUCAACGCGUGGAAACUUACCAGAACCAGACUAUGGAAAGAUUGACAAGCUAAUGACUUUUCUUGAUUCGUAGAAUAGUGGUGCAUGGUCGUUCUCAGUUCGUGGAUUGGUCUGUCUACUUAAUUGUGAUAACGAGCGAGACCUCCGUUAUUAAUUAGCAACUCCA